CCUGGCAAGCCGUUUUUUUAAGGAAGAUGAGGAUGGUUGCAGACGUUUGCAUUCAUGCAAGAAGGCACUGCAGAGGCUAAGAAGACGCAUGGAAACUCUAAAAGAAACGUAAUUCAACUUGUAAACCAGAUUUCAAAAGGAAAUAAUGAAUCCCGAAGCUCAGAUGUCAGACACCGAGGCUGCCAGUACCUCUGGGUCGAUAGUCCAUGUGUUGGAUGAUGCACCGCCGUUGAUCAGAACAGACAGCGUAUAUCCACACAGGUCGCACCAACCACUCCCCUUUACUGACCAGUAGGAGAGAAGUGCCCCUUUGAAAUCCUCUUGACCCCCUUGGUCCCACUGGAAGACAAGCCUCCUAUCAAGCAGUGGCACAUGCCCGCAUCCCGUGCCAAGGCUGAGCGGGAAUGGGAGAAUAGCCAACGGGAGCGCAGGAAGAGAGUGAAGCCAAUUCACUGGGACGUUAACUUUAAGUCUGGGCCUUUCUUCCCAGUGUGUGUCACUCCAUCACUGCCCUCGAUCUUGGAGAUGGACGAAGAGUCUCUGUCUGAAGAGAUGGAGCAAAGCCAGUUGUAGGGGGUCGCGCACACACACAUUCAUUUUCAUUUAUAUACCUUUAUUUAAAUAGGCAAGUUAGUUAAGUACAAAUUCUUAUUUACAAUGACGACCUACCCCAGCAAAACCCUAACCCGGACGGCACUGGGCCAAUUGUGUGCCACCCUACAGGACCAGUGCCUUAGACCAAUCGGGAGCGUUAUUGAGACCUCAUGGCCUACCAUGGACCAGAGAGGAUCAGCCAGCAUCAUCCCAGCGUCUGCCCUGCCUGCCAUCCUAGUACCUCCACUGCCCUUUCAACCCCAAACCACAAAGGGCAGGUGACAGAAGUGAUCCAGCGCCCAACGAUCCAGGCUGUUCUGCAUGAGCAGCAGCAGCUACUGUCGGAAGUACUGUUGGAACAGACUUUUCCAAUGAGAUCCAACAGGAGCCACAAGCUUUCAAAGUACUUUCAUCCCUGGGUGUGGAGCUUCUCGAACAAUGUUCUCUUCCUGAAGAUGGACUGCUUAAACCCCUUGGGAGUAUCCAGAGUAUCUAGUACGCUGGUGUGAUGAUAGAAUAUGUCCCUCAUUAUCAACUAGAGAUUAAUAUUAAUCCACUUGUUAUUCUAGUUUGGCAAAUGUUAAUUUAUCAUCAGCAUGUUCCAAAGAAUUCUGUUUCUAUAAAGUUUUAUUGCUGUUGAAAAUGAUCUGUGGUGUGUGUUGGUUUCUUGUGAGCUAUGAAGUAUACCCUUUUAGUAGAAUGUUUAUUUCUUCAUUGGACUUGUUGAUUUGUGACCAAGGAGAAGAGGUAAAUGCUGACCGGACAAAUUUAAGUGAAGGUCCGAUUCAAAUUUGUAUUAAUCCGAAGGAGGCACAUCUGACUCAUACCUUCGUGCCAUAAUUCUUCACAUUUUCAAUGUAUAGCAACACUGACAAAUUCUAAGGUGGAACUGUUUGUACUACAGCAUUGGAAAUGAGGAUCUAUCUAAACACAGUGGUUAUGAAUUGUGAGAAUGCUGAACAACAUUUUCUGACCAAUAGGCUUGUUUGUCGUAAUAUUUGGCCAAAUGUUUCUUCG
ensembl:lncRNA